UAUGUCUUACAUAUCGUGAUAGUCGCUUAUUUGGAGUCGGCUUUCUGCUGCAGAAAACCACCGGUUUGUGAAUUUUCAUACAUGUUUUUAUAGCAGCGUUUUUGCAAAUAUAACAGAGACCACCUUACAUACAAUACAUAAACUACAGUUACACUUCACAGACGAGGAAUUGCUGCGGAAGGUGUGUGUUGAAGAGCUAGGUGGCCCAACUAUUGUGGUUUUUAGAAAGGAAAGCUCGUAUGCGCGUAUUUCUACCAUUGUCUCAUGUGGUGCUACGGACAAUUUCAUAGGAGACAUAGAGCGUGUUGUGUAUGAUGGUGCAAAUACCUGUUUAACAUGUGACGGUUAUUAUGUGCCUAGUACUGCUACCUCUGAAAUGAAUUUGACUUCCGAACUGGCUGUCCACGUCGAUACCUUACCCCGUCUAGAACAAUUUUCUGUACGUAGAUAUAUGCGCAACACCUA